rnacentral:rRNA from 1 species
AUCGAGAAAGAAACUAACAAGGAUUCCCCUAGUAACGGCGAGUGAAGCGGGAAGAGCUCAAAUUUGAAAUCUUAAAGGAUUGUCCUUUACGAAUUGUAGUUUAUAGAAGUGUUUUCUGUUGAGGUUUCGGUAAAAGUUCUUUGGAAUAGGACAUCAUAGAGGGUGAGAAUCCCGUAUUUGACCGUUACUUCUCAGCUGUGUGAUACACUUUCAACGAGUCGGAUUGUUUGGGAAUGCAGUCCAAAAUGGGUGGUAAAUUUCAUCUAAAGCUAAAUAUUGGCGAGAGACCGAUAGCGAACAAGUACCGUGAGGGAAAGAUGAAAAGAACUUUGAAAAGAGAGUUAAACAGUACGUGAAAUUGUCAAAAGGGAAGCGUUUGACACCAGUGUUGUUUUCUCGAAAAUCAAUUCAAUAGUUUUUAAUUCUGAGUAGUCUUGACUUUAUCAGCUUGCUGCUCUCUUUUUGGAAAUUAUUGAAUGCACUUUUCGUUUAACAAGUCAACAUCAAUUUCUUUUGUUGUAAAAGAGUAAGAGGAAGGUGGCUUACGUUUCGGCGUAAGUGUUUAUAGCCUUUUACUUCUGCAAUCGGAGAGAUUGAGGUCUGCAGCGUAGAUCCUUCGGGGUUAGAUGCAUUUGUGCUAAGUUAUAGCCUUGUAUAGACAACUUGUUGACUAUACUCAGUCAUGUAGCUUACUCGCUUAUGUCAUUUUACCUACGCUUAGGAUGUUGACAAAAUGGUUUUAAACGACCGUCUAAAAAGGGACAACAAAA